rnacentral:pre_miRNA from 1 species
GGUAGCUGCUGCUGUUGCUGCUGCUGCUGCUGCUGUUGCUGCUGCUGUAGCUAGUCAGCAGCAGCAGCAGCAGCAGCAGCAGCAGCAGCAGCAAUG